ACAAGCGGUGGAGCAUGUGGUUAAUUCGAAGCAACGCGAAGAACCUUACCAGGCCUUGACAUGCAGAGAACUUUCCAGAGAUGGAUUGGUGCCUUCGGGAACUCUGACACAGGUGCUGCAUGACUGUCGUCAGCUCGUGUCGUGAGAUGUUGGGUUAAGUCCGUAACGAGCGCAACCCUUGUCCUUAGUUACCAGCACGUUAUGGUGGGCACUCUAAGGAGACUGCCGGUGACAAACCGGAGGAAGGUGGGGAUGACGUCAAGUCAUCAUGGCCCUUACGGCCUGGGCUACACACGUGCUACAAUGGUCGGUACAAAGGGUUGCCAAGCCGCGAGGUGGAGCUAAUCCCAUAAAACCGAUCGUAGUCCGGAUCGCAGUCUGCAACUCGACUGCGUGAAGUCGGAAUCGCUAGUAAUCGUGAAUCAGAAUGUCACGGUGAAUACGUUCCCGGGCCUU
rnacentral:rRNA from 1 species